rnacentral:rRNA from 1 species
UGGGGAAUCUUCGGCAAUGGACGAAAGCCUGACCGAGCAACGCCGCGUGCGGGAAGAAGGUUUUCGGAUCGUAAAACUCUGUUGUUCGGGACGAACAAAGACGUUAGUAAAUGAACGUCCCCUGACGGUAUCUUACCAGAAAGCCACGGCUAACUACGUGCCAGCAGCCGCGGUAAUACGUAGGUGGCAAGCGUUGUCCGGAUUUAUUGGGCGUAAAGCGAGCGCAGGCGGUUUCGUAAGUCAGAUGUGAAAGCCCCCGGCUCAACCGGGGAGGGUCAUUGGAAACUGGGGGACUUGAGUGCAGAAGAGGAGAGUGGAAUUCCGUGUGUAGCGGUGAAAUGCGUAGAUAUAUGGAGGAACACCAGUGGCGAAGGCGGCUCUCUGGUCUGGAACUGACGCUGAGGCACGAAAGCGUGGGGAGCAAACAGG